UGGGGAAUAUUGCACAAUGGGCGAAAGCCUGAUGCAGCAACGCCGCGUGAGUGAUGAAGGCCUUCGGGUUGUAAAGCUCUGUCUUUUGGGACGAUAAUGACGGUACCAAAGGAGGAAGCCACGGCUAACUACGUGCCAGCAGCCGCGGUAAUACGUAGGUGGCAAGCGUUGUCCGGAUUUACUGGGCGUAAAGGAUGCGUAGGCGGAUUUUUAAGUGAGAUGUGAAAACCCUAAGCUUAACUUGGGGACUGCAUUUCAUACUGGAAAUCUAGAGUGCGGGAGAGGAGAAUGGAAUUCCUAGUGUAGCGGUGAAAUGCGUAGAGAUUAGGAAGAACACCAGUGGCGAAGGCGAUUCUCUGGACCGUAACUGACGCUGAGGCAUGAAAGCGUGGGUAGCAAAACAGGAUUAGAUACCCUGGUAGUCCACGCCGUAAACGAUGAGUACUAGGUGUAGGAGGUAUCGACCCCUUCUGUGCCGCAGUUAAACACAAAUAAGUACUCCGCCUGGGAAGUACGAUCGCAAGAUUAAAAACUUAA
rnacentral:rRNA from 1 species